AGCGAACGCUGGCGGCAGGCCUAACACAUGCAAGUCGAACGAACCUUUCGGGGUUAGUGGCGGACGGGUGAGUAACACGUGGGAACGUGCCUUUAGGUUCGGAAUAACUCAGGGAAACUUGUGCUAAUACCGAAUGUGCCCUUCGGGGGAAAGAUUUAUCGCCUUUAGAGCAGCCCGCGUCUGAUUAGCUAGUUGGUUGAGGUAAUGGCUCACCAAGGCGACGAUCAGUAGCUGGUCUGAGAGGAUGAUCAGCCACAUUGGGACUGAGACACGGCCCAAACUCCUACGGGAGGCAGCAGUGGGGAAUCUUGCGCAAUGGGCGAAAGCCUGACGCAGCCAUGCCGCGUGAAUGAUGAAGGUCUUAGGAUUGUAAAAUUCUUUCACCGGGGACGAUAAUGACGGUACCCGGAGAAGAAGCCCCGGCUAACUUCGUG
rnacentral:rRNA from 1 species